ACUCAAAUGAAUAGACGGGGGCCCGCACAAGCAGCGGAGCAUGUGGUUUAAUUCGAAGCAACGCGAAGAACCUUACCAGGACUUGACAUCGCCUGAAGUUACAAGAGAUUGUAACGUCCUUCGGGACAGGUAGACAGGUGGUGCAUGGUUGUCGUCAGCUCGUGUCGUGAGAUGUUGGGUUAAGUCCCGCAACGAGCGCAACCCUUAUUUUCAGUUGCCAUCAUUAAGUUGGGCACUCUGGAGAGACUGCCGGGGAUAACUCGGAGGAAGGUGGGGACGACGUCAAAUCAUCAUGCCCCUUAUGUCCUGGGCUACACACGUGCUACAAUGGCUAUAACAAAGGGAAGCGAAGUAGUAAUAUGGAGCGAAUCCCAAAAAGAUAGUCCCAGUUCGGAUUGUGGGCUGCAACCCGCCCACAUGAAGUUGGAGUUGCUAGUAAUCGCGAAUCAGCAUGUCGCGGUGAAUACGUUCCCGGGCCUUGUACACACCGCCCGU
rnacentral:rRNA from 1 species